rnacentral:rRNA from 1 species
ACAUAGCUUAAUGAAGGUAACCCAGGGAACUGAAACAUCUAAGUACCUGGAGGAAGAGAAAGAAAAAUCGAUUUUCUUAGUAGCGGCGAGCGAAAGGGAAAGAGCCCAAACCGGAAACUUGUUUCCGGGGUUGUGGACAUAACAUAAAAGUGGAGGCUAUUGUAACUGAAGAGAACUGGAAAGUUCCACCGUAGAAGGUAAUAGUCCUGUAAGUGAAACGAGAAGACCACGAGUUAUGAUCCAGAGUACCACGAGACACGUGAAACCUUGUGGGAAGCAGGGAGGACCACCUCCCAAGGCUAAAUACUACCUGAUGACCGAUAGUGAAGCAGUACCGUGAGGGAAAGGUGAAAAGAACCCCGGGAGGGGAGUGAAAUAGAACCUGAAACCGUGUGCCUACAACCGCUCAGAGCCCCUUAUGAGGGUGAUGAGGUGCUUUUUGUAGAACGAGCCAACGAGUUACGGUAUGUAGCAAGGUUAAGUACUUAAGGUACGGAGCCGAAGGGAAACCGAGUCUGAAUAGGGCGACUAGUUGCAUGCCGUAGACCCGAAACCGGGUGACCUAUCCAUGGCCAGGUUGAAGCGAGGGUAAAACCUCGUGGAGGACCGAACCACGUUGCUGUUGAAAAAGCAUGGGAUGAGCUGUGGAUAGCGGAGAAAUUCCAAUCGAACCCGGAGAUAGCUGGUUCUCUCCGAAAUAGCUUUAGGGCUAGCGUCGAGUAUGAGUAGUGGAGGUAGAGCACUGAAUGGGCUAGGGGGCAUAGCGCUUACCGAACCUUAUCAAACUCCGAAUGCCACAUACUUUGAGCUCGGCAGUCAGACUACGAAUGAUAAGAUCCGUGGUCAAAAGGGAAACAGCCCAGAUCGUCAGCUAAGGUCCCAAAGUGUAAGUUAAGUGGGAAAGGAUGUGAGAUUUCUAAGACAACUAGGAUGUUGGCUUAGAAGCAGCCAUUCAUUAAAAGAGUGCGUAAUAGCUCACUAGUCGAGAGAUCUUGCGCCGAAAAUGUAACGGGGCUAAACUUACCACC